rnacentral:ncRNA from 1 species
CGGGCGAGGAUGUAGUCCCACCCGCGAGAAAUCUACAGUUAUACUGAUAGGACCCGAAAGGCAGUGAACUAUACCUGCUCUGCUUGACGCCACGGCAAACCGUGGUUGAGGAGCUAAGUCGUAUUGAUGUUCAACUCAUUGACAGGAAGUGGGUAUAGGGGCGAAAGACCAAUCGAACUGCCUGGUAGCUGGUUCCGGCCGAAAUGUCUCUCAGGACAGCGGUGUCUGCGAAUAGGAAGAUGCGGUAGAGAGGAUGUCGACCUUGUCAACAAACUCCGAAUGCGUCAUUGUGUUGCGAUUGCAUCCAACAUGAUCAUCUAUAAGACACUAGUGGGCGCCUUGUGGUAAGCAUGCGGCGCAAAAAGGGAUGAACCUAGCAGUGGGGUAAGGUGCCUAAAGGAAAACAAAGAGAAAAAGCGUUUGGCAGAUUAGGACAGUGGGGCGGUGGCCAUGGAGGUCGGCAUCCGCUAAGAAACGUGUUACAACGUACCCACCGAAUCUGCGAAUGCUGAAAAUGGAUGGCGCUUAUUUCCAUACCGAGCCCCACAUGGUACAGCCACGUAGGCCGGCACGUGUGCAUCUGAGAAGACCCGCCGUGAGGUGUGUUGGAGAUGUUCACGGAGCAGAUCUUGAAAGUAGUAGCAUCAUUUGUAUGUGCCAUUGGAGGCGGGU